UACGUAGGGUGCAAGCGUUGUCCGGAAUUAUUGGGCGUAAAGAGCUUGUAGGCGGUUUGUCGCGUCUGCUGUGAAAUUUCGGGGCUCAACCCCGAACUUGCAGUGGGUACGGGCAGACUAGAGUGUGGUAGGGGAGACUGGAAUUCCUGGUGUAGCGGUGAAAUGCGCAGAUAUCAGGAGGAACACCGAUGGCGAAGGCAGGUCUCUGGGCCAUAACUGGCGCUGAGAAGCGAAAAGCAUGGGGGAGCGAACAGG
rnacentral:rRNA from 1 species